UACGUAGGGUGCGAGCGUUGUCCGGAAUUAUUGGGCGUAAAGGGCUCGUAGGCGGUCUGUUGCGUCGGGAGUGAAAACUCAGGGCUUAACCCCGAGCCUGCUUCCGAUACGGGCUGACUAGAGGUAUGCAGGGGAGAACGGAAUUCCUGGUGUAGCGGUGAAAUGCGCAGAUAUCAGGAGGAACACCGGUGGCGAAGGCGGGUCUCUGGGCCGAUACUGACGCUGAGGAGCGAAAGCGUGGGGAGCGAACAGG
rnacentral:rRNA from 1 species